AUCUUCGUGUGAGGUUUGCUACUAGCUCUUCCUCAAGGGAUCCUUCACCAUCAGAUGAGGAUAUGGAUGGUGAAGUAGAGAUUCUGGGAUUUAAGAUGCCUACUGAAGAAAGAGUGAGAAAAAGGUAACAUUAAUUUGCAAGACAUGGUUUUACCUUGCAUCAUCCUUUCAAUAUCAACAAAAGAUAUCUCCCAUGUGAGACUUCUGAACUUAUUUGUUGUUACUUAACUUUAGAAAGGAAUCUAAUAGAGAAUCAGCCAGGCGCUCAAGAUAUAGAAAAGCCGCUCACUUAAAGGACCUGGAGGACCAGGUGUGGUAUCGCAAAUUAUAUUGUUAUUAUAAUACAGUUUUCAUUUGCCUAAUGAAAAAGGAAUCAAGAGUUUGUGAGUAAUUAAUGAGUGUAAAAUGGUGUUUAAUUACAGGUAGAAAAAUUAAAAGCUGAGAAUUCUUGUUUGCUGAGGCGCCUUGCUGCUAUGAACCGAAAGUACAAUGAAGCUAAUGUUGACAACAGGGUACUGAAAGCAGACAUGGAGACCCUAAGAGCUAAGGUAUGAUAUGCUGUAGUAACCGUGUUUUUUUUUAUGCUUUAACACAUCAAAAAUCAUUGAAUCCUGAAGUGCCCUCUUGCAAAUAAUGCUCUCCAUGCAUAGUUUUCUUUUAAGGGACGACAAGAUUUUCCUGCAAAUUUUAUUAGAUGGAAGAAAAUAAAAAAAAUAUGUCUGUAGUUUUUUUUUGACAAGCACAGACGCAGACGCUUAAUAUGCAUGCAUAUUCACCCCUAUCAACAUAAAUACGCAAACACUACCCAUAUGAGCACCUCUAAAAGAUUAUGUCGGCAUAUCUUGAAAUUAACGAAGUCAGCACAAACGCGUCGCUCACAUGGUAUAAAAUCUGGUUGCAGGUGAAAAUGGGAGAGGACUCCCUAAAGCGCGUUAUAGAGAUGAGCUCACUGACCUCCAUACCCAUUCCAGAGCUUCCCAGCAGCUCUGAUGUUCCAGUGCCUAUCCACGAGGAGAUCGUCAACUAUUUCACUACCACCCCAGCAGACGAUGCUUUGGCUGACAACAGCUUCAUGCCCAUGCCAGAGCCAUUGGCAUUGCAACUCCAAGCUGAAGAGCCAACCAUCAAUGGAGCUCUAAAUGCCACAGAGAUGAACCAAAUCGCUACGCACUGCGCGGCAGGGAGCCAACCAUCAAUGGAGCUUAUCCAGGAGACAAUGGGAGCCAUGAUGCCGACCUCCCCCGGAUCAACUCUCCAGGAAUCUGAGCUGCUGGGUCCAAACGAGACCAUAAACAUGCAUACGUAUUAGGCAUUGCAAGUUUUGUAAUCUCGUUUGUAGUGAUCACCUGUGCUUGCACUGCGUGGGCGGACUUGUGGUUUCUUCUUUAUGUCGUGGAAUCCCUGGGAACAUUUGCAGCUGUCGCUGAAUAACUGAAUAAGGCUCAUUGUCUCCCUUGACAUUUCAAAUAAAUUGAGAACCAUGAGUGUUUUUUUUUUCCAGGUACCAAAAGAUUGGUAGAUAGGGAUUGGGAGUUGUUGGAGAUGUGUUUUUCAAUCUUGCCAAAAAUCAAAGGAUGGGGAGAGUGUUUUGGAAACUCUUGGACAUGCUCUGACUUUCCAUUCAGAACAACUCUUAGUGUCAACCACCUAGACUUACAGUGUUUGUGAUGGCCCCCGGAUAAUCUUUGUGACCAUUUGAUCAUGAAAUUUCUGCAUAUUAUACUGCCAGUUCCCAUCCAACCACACUUCAUGCAAUGCUCCUGCUCGUCUAUUUCUACUAGACCAUACUCAUAUCCGUGACAUACUUAGUACACUUAACAACUAAUCUAAAUGUGUUGCCGGGAUCAAUCAUGAUAGGCCUUGUUUAGUUCCUGAAGCGAAAAAUUUCACGACAUUGUAACAUUUUCGUUUGUUUGUGGUAAUUAUUGUCUAAUCAUGGACUGACUAGGUUCAAAAGAUUCGUCUCGUCAAUUCCAACCAAACUGUGCAAUUAGUUUUUAUUUUCGUCUAUAUUCAAUACUCCAUGCAUGCGUCUAAAGAUUCGAUGUGACAGAGAAUCUUGAAAAUUUUUGGGUUUUUGGGUGGAAGCAAACAAUGCCAUAGAAUGAAUCAAGAUAACAAAAUCAAGGAGUUAAACAAUACCCUACACGACACGUUUCCUAAACCAAGAAAACUACCAUUUUCGUAGUAGUUGGAGAUUCAACUUACCAAAUACGCCAACCACUCGAAUCUAUAUUGCUUCACCAACUACACAUAAGCUGCCUACAAAGCAAAGAAGAACAAAACCCGAAUCAAAUUGAAGAACCCUAACCUUAGUCCUCAUCCAACAAUAUAUUGUAAUGCAGACCACAAAAAAGGGUCAGAUGUAGCCACAUACCUUUUCUCCAUCACAAUAGUAGUCCUGCGAAACAACGCUACAAGGAGGGGGGCAGGGGCUUGUGGGCGAGGGCGCCAGGCGGGCAAGCCCUAGGUUGUGCGGAGCAGAAAAAGAAGGGGACA
rnacentral:lncRNA from 1 species